rnacentral:misc_RNA from 1 species
GGAAAUUGCUUCUCUGGGCCUCAAACUCCGGGGGGAUGUGCGGCGGUGCUGCUGUGUGAUCUCCGGCGGCGUCUAUGAGAACCUUCUGUUCUUUCCGGCGAUUCAAUUGCUUAAGGAUCGGUACCCGGGUGUUCAAAUCGACGUGGUGGCUUCGGCGAGGGGCAAACAGACUUACGAAUUGAACAAGAAUGUGCGAUGGUCUAAUGUAUAUGAUCCGGA